GAUGAACGCUAGCGGGAGGCCUAACACAUGCAAGCCGAGCGGUAUAGAUCUUUCGGGAUCUUGAGAGCGGCGUACGGGUGCAGAACACGUGUGCAACCUGCCUUUAUCUGGGGGAUAGCCUUUCGAAAGGAAGAUUAAUACUCCAUAACAUAUUGAACGGCAUCGUUUAAUAUUGAAAGCUCCGGCGGAUAGAGAUGGGCACGCGCAAGAUUAGCUAGUUGGUGAGGUAACGGCUCACCAAGGCGAUGAUCUUUAGGGGGCCUGAGAGGGUGAUCCCCCACACUGGUACUGAGACACGGACCAGACUCCUACGGGAGGCAGCAGUGAGGAAUAUUGGUCAAUGGGUGCAAGCCUGAACCAGCCAUCCCGCGUGAAGGACGACUGCCCUAUGGGUUGUAAACUUCUUUUGUAUAGGGAUAAACCUACCCUCGUGAGGGUAGCUGAAGGUACUAUACGAAUAAGCACCGGCUAACUCCGUGCCAGCCGCCGCUGUAAGAC
rnacentral:rRNA from 1 species